AGGAUUUGAAGUCUAACAUUAGAACACGCUUGUAUCAUGGCUAAACUGUUCAAAACCGUAGCUUGUCUUGUUGUCUUCUUGGUGAUGAUGGCGGCCUUCGUGCCGACCGAGGUAUCAGCGCAAUACCAUGGUGGUGGUGGUUGGCCAAACAGAAGGUGGGGCGGCGGGCAUAGACGUUGGAAUCGUGGAGGACGCUGGAAUCGUGGUGGACGCUGGGGUGGGCGUUAUGGUGGCUGGUAGCAGAUGAUUAACCGAACGACAGACAAGACAUGGCGAUAACUGACUUUUACUAAAUGCUGAUAAAAACAUAA